CAUUGGUGAUAGUUUUCCAUUCAUGCAACACGCCUCACUGCAGAGCUUCCUCUGCCUACAAGUUUCUUUUUAAUAGAUGGAUCAGAUUUCUCAUGUCAAGGCUUAUAAUGCCAAGGACAACAUCCAAGGGCCUCCAGCCUUUCUAGCAAGUGUGAAUGAAGUAGCCAGAGACUUCUUAGUCAUGAUUUCAUAGAGACCUGUUUGGGCAUUUGUGACCUCAGUAAGAUAUCUUCCCAUGUUUUCCCCAGUUUUAGCCUUGUAAACGCCUGGAGUGGCCUAAAAUAACUCCUUACAUUCAAGUGGAUGUACUAUUAACGAUAUCAAAUGAUAAUUUUUAAAUAUUGAGCAUUCACCUGAACAUGUAUAGGGCUAAAACUGGGGAUAGGGACAGGAUAACCCUAUGAAUUUUACCCCUGGAUGUAACUUUGUUAUGUGCUUUCAAGUCAUUUUCUAUCUAUGACGACACUAUCAUAGAGGUUUGGGAGGCGGAGAUUUGUUCACUGAGAGUUUGCCUUUGCCUUUUUUUGAGGCUGAGAGACUGUGAUUCAGUAGGUUUCCAUGGCCAGACAGGGAUUUGAACCCUGAAAACCACUACACCAACUUAGAUAUUCAUAUACUUAACACAAAGAUCUACAGAUGGGUGCUGUGAUUUUUCCAGGCUGUAUGGCCAUGUUCCAGAAGCAUUCUCUCCGGAUGUUUCACACACAUCUACGGCAGAGGUUGUGAGGUAUAUUGGAAACUAGGUCAAUGAGGUGGGAGAAAGAAUUCUUGUCUGUUGGGCAAGUGUGAAUGUUGCAAUUAAUCACCUUGAUUAGCAUUGAAAAGCCUGUUAGCUGGCCCUGAUUGUUUCCAGUCUGGAAUUCCCCUGUUUUCAGAGUGUUGUUCUUUGUUUAUUGCUCUCAGAGGAUGCCUGGCAUAGAUGUGGGUGAAAUGUCAGGAGAGAAUGCUUUUGGAAUAUGGCCAUAGAGCCUGGAAAACUCACCGCAAUCCAGUGAUUCUGACCAUGAAAGCCUUCAACAACACAUCUGGAGAUAGUUUUGUUAAUUGCAUCUGGAUGGACAUGGUUAUAACAUUUCUAUGAGUUGGAACUCAGCCGUAGCAAUGUUCAUGGGGACUUUGAUGAAUGCAUUGAGCUGAAUGAAGUUACAGAGUCCCUGGAAGGUCUUUGAACACAAGAUGUGAAGAUUUAACUUUUGUCCAGAUCUUUAGAGACAUUGAGCGCAUGGCAUGCUCACUUCCAGCUUUAGCCUUAUCUGUGUUCAGGCAAGAACUUGGAAAGGUUUAAAAUAACACCUCAGUGUCUAGUGUGUGUCACCGGCUAUGCAAAAUUGUCAAGUUGACACUUAUCAAGACUGCAAGUGAAGAAAGUCUGAUCGUAUCCACCAGAUUUACUGGCCAAUGUGAUUUACCUCUGCCAAGUAAAGAGGGUUUGCUAUUCCAUAUGUUGAUAAAAUAUGCAUUGCCAUUAAGAAGAACAGUUGCAUCCGUUGCUUAUUUUUGGAACCUUGCAAAAGCCCUUGGCAUGGUUGUAUGUGUUUGAUUGAUACAGACACUCUGAACAGCACAACUGCCUAGAUAACAAAAGGGGAUGUGUAGUUAUCUCCACAGGGUGGCUUUGGUGAAGCAAGGAAAAAACAUCUAUAGCUAACUAAGAAUUAUGUAGAGCCUGUGAGCUGGUCGUAGGAUAGCAUUUGCUAUCUGUUCUCUUGGAUUUUAGCUGCAAUCUCCACAUUAGUAAAGAUGUUGUUCUUCAUUGCGUGGAGAGGAUCCACUUCUAGGGCAAGCUCUCCUGUUCAGACUUGUCCCUCUCCAGGCUCUGUUCUCAAUCUCAUAGUAUUCUGGCUGGCAUCCUGCUGGUGGCAUAUUU